UACGUAGGCGGCAAGCGUUGUUCGGAAUUACUGGGCGUAAAGAGUGUGUAGGCGGUGUUCUAAGUCUGUCGUGAAAUCUCCCGGCUUAACUGGGAGGGUGCGGCGAAAACUGGAAUGCUAGAGGAUGGGAGAGGUAAGCGGAAUUCCUGGUGUAGCGGUGAAAUGCGUAGAUAUCAGGAGGAACACCUGUGGUGUAGACAGCUUACUGGACCAUUUCUGACGCUGAGAAACGAAAGCGUGGGUAGCAAACAGG
rnacentral:rRNA from 1 species